UGCAUAUCAAAAAGCGGAGGAAAAGAAACCAACAGGGAUUGCCUCAGUAGCGGCGAGUGAAGCGGCAAGAGCUCAGAUUUGAAAUCGUGCUUUGCGGCACGAGUUGUAGAUUGCAGGUUGGAGUCUGUGUGGAAGGCGGUGUCCAAGUCCCUUGGAACAGGGCGCCCAGGAGGGUGAGAGCCCCGUGGGAUGCCGGCGGAAGCAGUGAGGCCCUUCUGACGAGUCGAGUUGUUUGGGAAUGCAGCUCCAAGCGGGUGGUAAAUUCCAUCUAAGGCUAAAUACUGGCGAGAGACCGAUAGCGAACAAGUACUGUGAAGGAAAGAUGAAAAGCACUUUGAAAAGAGAGUGAAACAGCACGUGAAAUUGUUGAAAGGGAAGGGUAUUGCGCCCGACAUGGGGAUUGCGCACCGCUGCCUCUCGUGGGCGGCGCUCUGGGCUUUCCCUGGGCCAGCAUCGGUUCUUGCUGCAGGAGAAGGGGUUCUGGAACGUGGCUCUUCGGAGUGUUAUAGCCAGGGCCAGAUGCUGCGUGCGGGGACCGAGGACUGCGGCCGUGUAGUCACGGAUGCAAGCAGUCGG
rnacentral:rRNA from 1 species